rnacentral:lncRNA from 1 species
CUUAAAUGUGCUAAGGUCAAGGGAAAUAAAAAUACAAAUACAUGCAAACACAAAGCUAGUGUAACUCCCUAUGAGUUGAUUUGCCCAAACUAUCAUGAAAAACCAGCACAAAGCACAAAUCAUAAACCUGUUCCAAUGGUCUAAGACUAUGAACUGUGCCUAAAAGCCACUUGGAGAAGUGACUGACUGAGUAACCGGGGGUGUAUCACCCAUGUACACAAUCGCGUAAAAAGGUCAGUGACUUUUUCAAAUAAGUUUCGAUGGUCUAGACUAUGAACAGAGCUAGUAGCCACUUGAACAAGUGACUAACUGAGUAACCGGGGGUGUAUCACCCAUGUACACAAUCGCGUAAAAAGGUUAGUGACUUUUUCAGGCAAG